rnacentral:rRNA from 1 species
GAUGAACGCUGGCGGCGUGCCUAAUACAUGCAAGUCGAGCGAACAGACGAGGAGCUUGCUCCUCUGACGUUAGCGGCGGACGGGUGAGUAACACGUGGAUAACCUACCUAUAAGACUGGGAUAACUUCGGGAAACCGGAGCUAAUACCGGAUAAUAUAUUGAACCGCAUGGUUCAAUAGUGAAAGACGGUUUUGCUGUCACUUAUAGAUGGAUCCGCGCCGCAUUAGCUAGUUGGUAAGGUAACGGCUUACCAAGGCAACGAUGCGUAGCCGACCUGAGAGGGUGAUCGGCCACACUGGAACUGAGACACGGUCCAGACUCCUACGGGAGGCAGCAGUAGGGAAUCUUCCGCGAUGGGCGAAAGCUUGACGGAGCAACGCCGCGUGAGUGAUGAAGGUCUUCGGAUCGUAAAACUCUGUUAUUAGGGAAGAACAAAUGUGUAAGUAACUAUGCACGUCUUGACGGUACCUAAUCAGAAAACCACGGCUAAGUACGUG